rnacentral:rRNA from 1 species
UACAGAGGUCUCAAGCGUUGUUCGGAUUCAUUGGGCGUAAAGGGUGCGUAGGCGGCGCGGUAAGUCGGGUGUGAAAUUUCGGAGCUUAACUCCGAAACUGCAUUCGAUACUGCGGUGCUUGAGGACUGGAGAGGAGACUGGAAUUCAUGGUGUAGCAGUGAAAUGCGUAGAGAUCAUGAGGAAGACCAGUGGCGAAGGCGGGUCUCUGGACAGUUCCUGACACUGAGACACGAAGGCCAGGGGAGCAAACGGG